GACGAACGCUGGCGGCGUGCUUAACACAUGCAAGUCGAACGGAAAGGCCCUGCUUUUGUGGGGUGCUCGAGUGGCGAACGGGUGAGUAACACGUGAGUAACCUGCCCUUGACUUUGGGACAACUUCAGGAAACUGGGGCUAAUACCGGAUAGGAGCUCCUGCUGCAUGGUGGGGGUUGGAAAGUUUCGGCGGUUGGGGAUGGACUCGCGGCUUAUCAGCUUGUUGGUGGGGUAGUGGCUUACCAAGGCUUUGACGGGUAGCCGGCCUGAGAGGGUGACCGGCCACACUGGGACUGAGAUACGGCCCAGACUCCUACGGGAGGCAGCAGUGGGGAAUAUUGCACAAUGGGCGGAAGCCUGAUGCAGCAACGCCGCGUGCGGGAUGACGGCCUUCGGGUUGUAAACCGCUUUCGCCUGUGACGAAGCGUGAGUGACGGUAAUGGGUAAAGAAGCACCGGCUAACUACGUG
rnacentral:rRNA from 1 species